rnacentral:lncRNA from 1 species
AAAGAAAUUUUAAUAUUUCAGUUUCGACCCCGUUUGGUCACCGAAAGCUGUACCGAACUAUAAUCUUUAUCGGAUAGCUGUCGGAUUUUAUUUUUCACCUUCCGGGUGUCAGAAUGACAUGAAACUUUAAAUCUAGCCUCAUAAAAAUAAUUCUGGCUUAUCCUCCAAUUUUCAUAAUUUUCUGACACUAUGCAUUUUCUGCUAAUUUAUCUGUCCCGUUUCCAACAGAAAAUUCUAAAUCUUCUGUUUUCAUUCCGAUUUCAGCACAAGUCACUUCUGACUUAUGUUUUACUUUUCUAAAUUCAAUAAAAAUAGUUUCUCACACUAUUUUUUAUUUAUUUUUAUUUUUAUAUCAAAAUCUGGUAUGUUACACCACAUCGCCGUCCUAGCCCCCACUAUGAAA